ensembl:misc_RNA Metazoa_SRP Metazoan signal recognition particle RNA
GCUAGGCAUGGUGGUGCAUGCCUGUAGUCCCAGCUACUAGGGAAGCUGAGGUGGGAGGAUGGCUUGAGCCCAGAAGGUCAAGUCUGCAGUGAGCCAUGAUUGUGCCACUGCUCUCUAGCCUGGGCAACAGAGCAAGACCCUGUCUCAA